GAUGAAGAACGCAGCGAAAUGCGAUACUUGGUGUGAAUUGCAGAAUCCCGUGAACCAUCGAGUCUUUGAACGCAAGUUGCGCCCGAAGCCAUUAGGCCGAGGGCACGCCUGCCUGGGCGUCACACGUCGUUGCCCCCCCCAUCUACUCCUUCGGGAUUGCGGGGGGCGGAUGAUGGCCUCCCGUGCGCCUCGCCGCGUGGUUGGCAUAAAUGCCAAGUCCUCGGCGACGCACGCCACGACAAUCGGUGGUUGCGAAACCUCGGUUGCCCGUCGUGUGCGGUCGUCGCGCAUCGAGGGCUCGAAAAAAUUGCCGAGUUCCGGCUCGGCUUUCAACGCGACCCCAGGUCAGGCGGGGUUACCCGCUGAAUUUAAGCAUAUCAAUAAGCGGAGGA
rnacentral:misc_RNA from 1 species